rnacentral:rRNA from 1 species
AGGGUUUGAUCCUGGCUCAGAACGUACGCUAGCGGCAGGCUUAACACAUGCAAGUCGAGGGGUAUAGUUCUUCGGAGCUAGAGACCGGCGCACGGGUGCGUAACGCGUAUGCAAUCUACCUUUUACAGAGGGAUAGCCCAGAGAAAUUUGGAUUAAUACCUCAUAGUAUGUGAGAAUCGCAUGGUUUUCACAUUAAAGUUCCAACGGUAAAAGAUGAGCAUGCGUCCCAUUAGCUAGAUGGUAAGGUAACGGCUUACCAUGGCAACGAUGGGUAGGGGUCCUGAGAGGGAGAUCCCCCACACUGGUACUGAGACACGGACCAGACUCCUACGGGAGGCAGCAGUGAGGAAUAUUGGACAAUGGGCGCAAGCCUGAUCCAGCCAUGCCGCGUGCAGGAUGACGGUCCUAUGGAUUGUAAACUGCUUUUGUACAGGAAGAAACACUCCCUCGUGAGGGAGCUUGACGGUACUGUAAGAAUAAGGAUCGGCUAACUCCGUGCCAGCAGCCGCGGUAAUACGGAGGAUCCAAGCGUUAUCCGGAAUCAUUGGGUUUAAAGGGUCCGUAGGCGGUUUAUUAAGUCAGUGGUGAAAGCCUACAGCUCAACUGUGGAAUUGCCAUUGAUACUGAUAGUCUUGAAUUUAGUUGAGGUAGGCGGAAUAAGACAUGUAGCGGUGAAAUGCAUAGAUAUGUCUUAGAACACCGAUUGCGAAGGCAGCUUACUAAGCUAAUAUUGACGCUGAGGCACGAAAGCGUGGGGAGCGAACAGGAUUAGAUACCCUGGUAGUCCACGCCGUAAACGAUGAUUACUCGUUGCUGGCGAUACACAGUCAGUGACCAAGCGAAAGUGAUAAGUAAUCCACCUGGGGAGUACGGUCGCAAGAUUGAAACUCAAAGGAAUUGACGGGGGCCCGCACAAGCAGUGGAGCAUGUGGUUUAAUUCGAUGAUACGCGAGGAACCUUACCAGGGCUUAAAUGUGCUUUGACCGCUCGAGAAAUCGAGCUUCUCUUCGGAGCAGAGUACAAGGUGCUGCAUGGUUGUCGUCAGCUCGUGCCGUGAGGUGUCGGGUUAAGUCCCAUAACGAGCGCAACCCCUAUCUUUAGUUGCCAGCGAGUAAUGUCGGGGACUCUAAAGAAACUGCCCGCGUAAGCGUGGAGGAAGGUGGGGAUGACGUCAAAUCAUCACGGCCCUUACGUCCUGGGCCACACACGUGCUACAAUGGUAGAUACAGAGGGCAGCCACUUGGUGACAAGGAGCGAAUCUCUAAAGUCUAUCUCAGUUCGGAUUGUAGUCUGCAACUCGACUACAUGAAGCCGGAAUUGCUAGUAAUCGCGCAUCAGCCAUGGCGCGGUGAAUACGUUCCCGGGCCUUGUACACACCGCCCGUCAAACAAUGGAAGCUGGGGGCACCUGAAGUCGGUAACCGAAAGGAGCUGCCUAGGGUGAAACUAGUAACUGGUGUUAAGUCGUAACAAGGUAACCGU